GGCCCUUUGCCCAUUUUUUAAUUGGAUUGUUUGCUUUUUUUGGUGUUUUAUAAGUUCUUUAUAAAUUUUGGCUGUUACCACCUUAUCAAAUAUAUCAGUGGUGAACACCUUCUCCCAUUCAGUGGAUUGUCUUUUCAUUUUAUUGAUGGUUUCCUUUGCUGUGCAAAAACUCUAGUUUGUUGUAGUCCCACUUGUUUACUUUUUCCUUUUGUUUCCCUUGCCUAGGGAAGGCUAGAGUCAACCAGUGCUGUUGCAUUGAAAUUGGUUGCUGGUUUUAAACAGACACAGAGAAAUACAGAAGCAUAAAUCGAUGGGGAAUAAAAGAUGAAAGCCGUUUUCUCUGCCAACCCUCACCUGAAAUAAAAGGGCUGUAGACUAGAAAGUCUCUCUAUACACACUCGGGGCCCAAGGAGGGCGGAAAAUGUUGACUUCAGUUCAGCAGGUGGCGGGCUUCUCAGAGGCUGCUUCCUGACAGCCUGACAGUCCGUGGACAGAACCCAGGACGUGCGGGUCUCUGAGAAGUCCUGGCAGACGUCAGAUGAAAGGCCCCGGGCUUCAGAAGGACGCCCGGUGCCCCAGAGCCUGGAGCUCCCCUGGAACCCUCCAUUCUCAACACCUCGGCAUAAACACUUAGGGCAGGAGAGGGCCCGGGCUUCCUAGGAGGUCAUAAAUUUCAAAGGUGAGGCACAGAUCACUGAGCUAUGUUUUCCUUUAUGGUGUUUCUACAAACCCGAAAGGAGACAGAGGAGAGAGACUUGAAAAGCCAAUGUUACAUCUACUGAAAACUUUUAUCAUCUCCCGCUGAAACCAGUACUCUGUAAUUAUUCUUAGUAGAAGCAAAUGUGGCACUUUUCCUAAAUAAUGAUAUAACAAAAUACAUUUUCGAACUUAAAAUUUUUUAAAAUAAAGUUUUAACAGACUAUUACUUGGUGAUAUAGAACAAGAGGCCUGCACUCACAAACAUGAAAAGCAUUUAAAAAUCCGUGAGUAUAUGAACUGAGGAUGGGCAAAUACAAAGGGGAGGGAAAGCGGAGGGCGUGAAAAACCGAAGAACGAAGCAUUUGUGGGACCAGUGAUGGAUUAUUUUAGUUUGUAUCUUGUGUUGACAUAAGAAACAUUCAAACCUGUA